UGAUGCUAAACGGGGAGCUAGCGGUGCCCUGUGACCCGCAAUCCGCUAUAGCGGGGUUGACCGCCCACCGAGGUGCAUUUUAUGGAAAGCCGAUAGGAAUAAGGAAUGUUGAUAUUAAGGUCUUAUACAAUCUCGUGUUGUGAACCGUGUCAGAGUUUGAACGCAGCAGCACUAAGCAAAUUUCGGGGUGUGUUAUAAGGAAGCUUUAAGGGAGUCACCUGUUUCUAUGCCGAUUCGGUAAAGUGUAUCGGAGUGGGUGCAUUA
rnacentral:SRP_RNA from 1 species